rnacentral:rRNA from 1 species
GUUGUGAACUCGAAGAGUAGGGCGGGACACGUGGUAUCCUGUCUGAAUAUGGGGGGACCAUCCUCCAAGGCUAAAUACUCCUGACUGACCGAUAGUGAACCAGUACCGUGAGGGAAAGGCGAAAAGAACCCCGGCGAGGGGAGUGAAAAAGAACCUGAAACCGUGUACGUACAAGCAGUGGGAGCCUCUUUAUGGGGUGACUGCGUACCUUUUGUAUAAUGGGUCAGCGACUUAUAUUCUGUAGCAAGGUUAACCGAAUAGGGGAGCCGAAGGGAAACCGAGUCUUAACUGGGCGUUAAGUUGCAGGGUAUAGACCCGAAACCCGGUGAUCUAGCCAUGGGCAGGUUGAAGGUUGGGUAACACUAACUGGAGGACCGAACCGACUAAUGUUGAAAAAUUAGCGGAUGACUUGUGGCUGGGGGUGAAAGGCCAAUCAAACCGGGAGAUAGCUGGUUCUCCCCGAAAGCUAUUUAGGUAGCGCCUCGUGAA